rnacentral:lncRNA from 1 species
AGAGAAACGCGGGAGUGGUGGGGGAUGUGGGUUCCUGUGUGCUGAGCGGAGGAGCCGGGGUGGGGGCGGUGCAAGCGGAAGAAAGAGCCAAGAGAGCGGAAAAUCGGCUGGUGCUGUCGCCGCCCGAGUUUUGUGUUUCCACAGCUUUCCAGUUGGGUACAACGGAGCCGAACUCCGUGUUCCCGGGCUGGAGAGCCUUGGUGUCCCCGCCAACCCCCAGUAGGAAGCGAGCGCUGUAACAUGGGAGGCGUGGUCGCCACUGAUCUUGUCUCCCCCCAGAGCCUUCCUAAAGGCUCUGCCGCCACGAGACUGCACCACCGGGAAAGAAGUGUGUGAAAGUGUACUCCGUAAACAGGCAAUCCUGUACGCGACUUAGGGGCAGAAAGACCCUCCGCACUUUUAUCAUUUGAAAGUAAGGUGGACGAUUCCAGCCUGGUGUCCCUGAGGGUACACACAGGCCCCCCGCGCAGCCAGAGGUGACUCAGGAACCCCCCUUCCAACCCCUGCGUAGAACGCCGAACAGUCUUCGGAGAAUUCGCUUUCCUCCACGUGAAAAGGAAAAGAAAAACAUUUGAGGAGUCGCAGUAGUCACUUGUACUCCCCAAACACACGGGAAGAAGUUGAUCAGUUUGCAUGCUUGGAGUCAAAUUACGCUCAGCACAAAUCCAACGCCCCUGAAUUAAAUGAGCAGUAGAAGCUCUCUGCAAAAAACACAACAGUAUUUGUGACCCGGUAUUAUUUCAGGAGGUAAAAACAUCUAUAAGCAGAUGCAUUUGGGACGUAUGCAUUUCCUGGUAAUGUCAAUAUCGCAUUAAGCUAGUGGGUUUGGGCAGGGAAAGCCUGAAUCGGACAAGAAGCUGGCUUUUUUUUUUUUUAGGCUAUAAAUAACCAGACCAUGCCAGACACAUGUUCUUAGGCUAUGUUCUUAGGCUCAGGUGAUUGGAGUGCCCCCCCCCCCAUCCCCACCCUCAGGGCUUAGGGAGAAUGGAAGAUAAGGUGGAUGCUGUCACCUGUAUUAAUAGUUAGGGCUUGCAUACAUACAGUAAAGUUUCAAGAGUGAAACUUCAUCGACUGAACUCUUUAUGAAGUGACUGCCUGACUCUACACGCGAUGUUUUAGGAGUUGAAUUUUUACUUUCCCCCUGACACCUUUCUUUUUUGUAUCCUCAAGAAACAAAUUUCCGUACCGUAAGUUUACCUGGGACUACCAAAACAGUUCUGUUAGAUGACCGUGGAAUUCACCCCAAAUGUGCACAUAACCAAUAAGGGCGAGGCAGCCCCCUAGAGGGAGCUGUAGGUUGAUGAGCCAAGUGAUUUUAGGUAUGCAGUCUAAUUUCCAAACCUGUUUCCUCAGCUGCAAAACGAGAAUUCCUACAGCCAGAAAGUUGUGAGGGUUUGGGCGGGGGGCGGGGUUGGGGAAGUUGUUUUUGUUUUUUUGAGACAGGGAUUCUCUCUGUCGCCCAGGCUGGAGUGCAGUGGCGCGAUCUCGGCUCGCUGCAACCUCCGCCUCGCCGGCUCAAGCAUCCUCCCACCUCAGCCUGCAGAGUCGCUGGGACCACAGGUGUGCACGACUACGCUCGUCUAAUUUUUUGUAUUUUAAGGGUAAAGACAAGGUCUCACUAUGUUGCCCAGGCCUGUUUCUAACUCCUGGACUCAAGCAAUCCGCCCACCUCGGCCUCCCAAAGUGCUAUUAGAUCCAAUUUUGAUUUUCCUUGGCAUUCUGUUAAUUCAAACACAUGUAGGUUUAGAAGAGAUUUUCACCUAGAUUUUGGAGGAGAUGGACGUCCAUAAACGUACACUCUUUAGCACAAUUUGUUUGAAACUAAUUUGGAAAACAAAAUCUCUCAAUGAGCAGAAAUAGUCAUGGAACAUUUUUUGUUUGUUUUGCUUUUCUUCGUGAAUAAGCAUAUUUAAAAUAAGAUAAAGGGCUUGAGUUAGCAAAGAGACACCUUAUGGACCAUUGUCUUAGUGAUAAAUGAUGUGUGGGCUACUGCCCAGUCAGGCUUUCGAGAGGCCUAUCAGUCUCUAUGCAGAGGAGGAUAGCCACUCAGAAGCAGGUGGCUUCUGCCUUUCCUUUAAAAGUUAAGCUUAGGGAAAGAUAGUCCUGAACAUGUCAUUAGGGUCAGUAUGGUUCUUGCUGCCUCUAAGAAUUAGUAUAUGGGGCCAAAGCAGGGAGAUGAAAGAAUAUGUUCAAGGAAAAGUUCCAAAGACUGCACCAUAAUAUUCACUUUAUUCCACACAAUUUGCACAUUCAUUGUGACUGGCAUCAAUGAAAACCUUGUAGUCAGUGUAAUGUAUUAAAAAAUCACAUAUUGCAUUUUAGGAAAGAGUCCUUAUAAAACAACAACAACAACCUGUAGAUUUUGAACUCCAUAUGGAGCACAUUUUUUCAAUUAGAUGUUUUCUGAGAUGUCAGUGAGUCCGCCCCUACAGAGGAAAGAGGCUAACUUGACUGAAUUGGUAUGAACAGAUAAUACACUACCCACUACAUGAAGCUGCAGUCAUAGCUGAUAGGGUUGGUAGCACCUAUUGAGGUAAUCACCUCAAUACAUGCUUUUUAAAAGAGUGUAGAGAAGUUAGAAUGCAUUUAAUCAACCUACCAUACUGUAUGCCAAGUAACAGACUGCAAUCCAGAACAAGACAUGAUCUCAUUAACCUAGUUCUGCCCUUGCUGUCAGUGAAAAGAAUGACCCUCUUCCAGAUGCGGAAGAAACAUGUAAACUCAUGAGGCAAUUGCAUUAGUGCAUAGGUUUUGAGGAAAGAGGCUGAUACGGUUUGGCUGUGACCCCACCCAGAUCUCAUCUUGAAUUCCCACGUGUUGUGGGAGGGACCCGGUGGGAGGAAGUUGAGUCAAGGGGGCGAGUCUUUCCCAUGCUGUCCUCAUGAUAGUGGUAAGUCUCAUGAGAUCUGAUGGUUUUAUUAGGAGGAAUUUCCCUGCACAAGCUCUCAUUCUCUCUUGCCUGCCGCCAUGUAAGACAUGUCUUUGCUCCUGCUUCACCUUCUGCCAUGAUCAUGAGGCAUCCCCAGCCAUGUGGAACUGCCAGUAAAGGAAUAAAAAAGAUCCACCAAGACAGAGAAUUAAAGGAGAGACUCCAGCAUAUAAGAGGUCAACCAUUUAGGAAAACAGAAAGUGGAUACAGAAGUGGCAACUGACGUAGCGGAACAGAGAAAGCUGAAGGCUAAGUUCAAGAGGCGGGGGAAGCCAGCAAGAAACAAGCUGAUUCCUGUUGCAGAACUCUCAUCAGCUCAGCAAUAAGCACCACCUGGUUCUCUGAGGGUCUCACUUCACCCAGGCUGGAAUGCAGUGGUGUGAUCACAGCUCACUAUAGUCUCGAUCUCCUGGGCCUCCCACAUCAGCCUUAUCACUCAUUCUGGGGGCAGCCCUCUGGCAUGUAAUGAGCAGUCCUAUGGAGAGGCCCAUGUGACAGUAGCCAUGCGAGUGACACUGGAAGUGAAACCUGCAGCUCCAGUCAAGCCUUUAGAAGACUGCAGCCCUGGCUGACAGCUUGACAGCAAACUCAUGAGAGACUCUCAGCUUGAACAACUCAGCUAAACUGUUCCUGGGUUCCUGGUCCUCAAAAACUGUACGAGAUGAAAAAAAAGUUUGUUUUUUUAAGCUGCCAAGUUUUGGGAUAAUUUGUUAUUCUAAUAUAUUUUUUAAUACCUGGAAGUAAGGUGCUACCAUAAUAAAUACCUAAAAUGUAGGCACAGCUAGGAAACUAGACAGUGGAGGUAGCUGGAAAGAAUUUAAGAAGCAUAGCAGUGAAAGUCUCAGGAGCCUUGAACAAAACAUUAGAAAAACUUUGGACUUUGACCAGGCUGCUGGUGGAGGUUUAAAAGAAAGUGAGAAAAAUCUUGUUGAAAACAGAACAGGGAAUCCUUACUAUGGAGUGGCAUAAAUCUUAGCAAUAUUGUUGUCUGCAAUAAUGUGGGUGGUGGGAAUGUACCUGGUAAACUGGGUGAUCUAAUUUGCUAUUCAUAAAGACAUAAAGAUUCUCAGCUUUUACAGAUGGUGAAAAAUGCUAAAUUAAGAAAUGGCUGAAGGACAGAGGUCAAAUCCUGGGCACCAUCAUGAAAACAUAAUCCAAAGAUGAAGCUGAGAUGUGACUAUAAAUCCUUUGUUAUGACCUCAGAAAGAUCAAAAGUGGUGCCUCAGAGUACCAGUUUGGUCACACAAAGGCCCUCUAAAGUUUUUAAGGCUGUGACUCACAGAUUCUUUCAAAAACAGGGCUCCUGAGAAGCUUAAGAGCAUAGUUUUUCAGCAGAAUCACAAGGUGGGAAAGGGAUUAUCUCAAAAAGAUUUUUGGGCGUGACUUUUGUCUAAUGGAAUGGACCCCCAAAAAUUCAUAGGUGAUUCACAAAUUUUUUAAAAGAAUUAUAUUAGUAGAAACAUUGCCAACUAGAACUCAAAGGGAUAGAGACAGUAUGAAAUGAAAAAAGGCCUUGGUACUCACUUUGCCCCUGUUUCACUGCAGGUUAAGAAAAAAUUUCAGCUGCAUACAUGUACUAACUUUCAUGAAAAAGAAAGAAUAGCUAAGCAUGGUGACUCACUCCUGUAACCCCAGCACUUUGGGAGGACAAGGUGGGAAGACCACUUGAGCCCAGGAGUUUGAAUCAGCCUGGGCAACAUAGCAAGACUCUGUCUCUUUUUAAAAAAGGAUGACUCUGAAGGGGAAGCUAAAAGCCUCAGAGAAUAACUCAUGCGUAGAAAUAGGACUAAAUCCUAAGGCGAUUCCAACAUUUGCCUGGCUGGAUUUCAGAGCUGCUAUGGGGACAUAGUAGUGUGUCCAGUACCUUUCCUUUUUGAAUAUUAAUGCAUAUAGUGUUUAUUCCUGUUCCACCAUUGUGUGUUUGGGGUGUGUGUGUGUGUGUGUGUGUGUCUAUGUGUGUGCGUGUUAGUUUCAGAUUGAGAGGAAUUAUACCCAAGGAGCUAGAGUUAAGAAAUUAUACCUAAGGAACCUCUUGUGUACCUGGUCCUGAUUUAAAUGACAAGACUCUAGACUUUGAGUUGAUGCUGUAAUGAGACAAGAAUUUUAGAAAUGUUGAGAUGGAGUGGACGUGUUUUGCAUGUUGGAGGGACUUGAUUCACUGGAGCCUAGAAGGCAGACUAUGGUAGCCAGCCCUCAAGAUUGUCUCCUCCUGGUAUUCAUACCCUUGUAUAAUUCCCCUCCCACAUUGUACCAGAAUUUAUCUGUGUGACAGAAUAUGGCAGAAGUAAUGAUAUGUCACUUCUGAGAUUAGGUUAUAAAAGACAUUGUGGCUACCAUCUCUCAUCACUCACUCAAAGGGAAGCCAACCACCAUGCAAUGAGAAUCUCAGGUAAUGAGGACCUGAGACCUGUUGUCAAUCACGUGAAUAAGCUUGGGAGGAGAUUCUCCAGCCCCAGUCAAGCCUCAGAAGACUUCAGCCCUAGGUGACAGCUUGAUGAUAAUCUCGGGAGGCAGAACCACCCAACUAAGCCACUCCUGGAUUCCUGACCCUGACCCUGACCCUAGAAACAGUGUGAGCUGGAAUUCUGUGAAGCACAUGACCUCAAGUCUUUGGAUAAAUGGAAACGCAGCUUAUGCCGGAAAGAUGGAAGGCUGGCUGUACUAAUAUCAGAAAUGGAAGAGGAGAGACAUCACUAGAGAUCCCAUGGAUAUUGAAAGGAUAAUAAAGGAGUAUUAUGAGCAUUGUUAUAUUUUAUGUCUCCUAUAAGCUGUAAAUUCCUACAUAGCAAGAAUUCUGUCUUACUCAUCCUUUAACAACUACUGUGUACCUUAUAAUGUUUCAUAAAAUAUUAUGAUUUGGUUUUAUUAUUCACAAAAGAAUGCUAUAAGAGGUGAAAAAUGGAGAGGCUAGAAAGCAUAAAAACAAGUUACAUCAGGUGGUAGAGCCUGGUUUAAGGGUCAAAGAUAAAAGAAGGGAAGGUUAAGGGCAGGGCUUUAGAGGGAGAGAGGAUAAACACAGUUUGAUUAAAUGGCUGAUUCAGCCGGGUGUGGCGGCUCAUGCGUAUAAUCCCAACACUUUGAAAGGCUGAGGCAGGAGGAUUGCUUGAGCCUAGGAGUUCAAGACCAGCCUGGGCAACAUGGAGAAAUCCUAUCUCUACCAAAAUACAAAUACAAAAACAAAAAUUAGCCAGGUGUGGUUAUAUACACCUGUAGUCCCAGCUGCUUGGGAGGCAGAGGUGGGAGGAUUGGUUAGGUCUAGGAAGUUGAGGCUGCAGUGACCUAUGAUUGCUCCACUGCACUCUAGCCUUGGUGACACAGAGAGAUCCUGUCUCAAAACAAAAACAAACAACAACAACAAAAAACAUAUAUAUAUAUAUAUGAGGUUUAUCCACAGUAAAGUUCAGUCUAGGGUUAAUAAAAGAUUCUAGGGUUCACUAAGACAAAGAGUAGUCGCAGUAGCAGAGCCUUGGGUGAAGCUAAGGUCCCCAGGAGAUCUGGGAUGUCUGUGAGGAACAGUGAGGCUUAGUCAUUCAGACAAGCCAGCAGAAGUGAAGUUUAGAGAAUGUGGAUGGGCCUCAGGCUCUAGACAUCAAAACAAACAGAUAGAAAAGGCAGAGUGUAGAAUCCAGACAGUGAGGCUCACAACAAGGUAUGCAAUUCUGCAUAAGCAGAUUUGAGGGGACACCAACUAUGGACUGAUGUAGAUAAAUAUUUCUGGUAAUUCCAGUUAGUGAUUCACUCUGAACUCACAUAGGAUAGUAUCUCUUCAAAGGCACUUGUGUUGUAAUUAAAUGCACACAUAAGACAUAAUGCUUAUUGAGCCCUUAGCAUGUACCACCCACUCUUAUGCAUACUAUAUGUUUAAACCAUUUAAACUCACACCAACCCCCUGGGGGUAGGUAGUAUUAUUAUCCCUGUUACAGAUAAGGAAAGUGAGAAGUAGGAGUUAAUUGGUCUCAUGAUCCCCUACAGGCUGGCCUUCCAGAAAAAGGAGGUAACUUGCCCCAGGAUACCCUGGAAACCAAUCAGAAUGAAUUGCCUUAAACUCUGGCUUGUAGCCCAAAGCAAGGCUUGCCCACAAGUCUUGCCAGUAUGUGGUUGAACAGAAAUUAGAAUCCAGACAGCCUGAGUCCUUUUCUUGCCAGGCAGGGGCUGGGGCUUCCCCAACCAUGAAAGUUCAGGUGGUAGAUCCUGCCACUGCUUUGCACACCAGCUCCCUGGUGCUAACCUCAACUGCCAGUGCUGAGCUGGAAGGAUAGGGCUGGAGGCAAACUCCUACCCCAUCAUGUUGCUGGUGUAUUCCAUCCUGGUAUUGGUCACACCAAGGAAGGGCCUGGACUUUCCUAAUCAUGCAGCUUAAAAGCAACACAAGGCAAGGCGGGGAGUCCGCUCUCCUGAAGUCUGACAUCCAGGAAGACCAGAUUGCUAUGUGCUGUCUUUGACUUACUUGGAGACUCACACACCUACACUAGUGCCCCCUUAUCUGAGGGGGAUGCAUUCCAAGACCCCCAGUGGAUGCUUGAAACCAUAAAUAAUACCAAACCCUACAUAUACUAUGUUUUUUCAUAUAUAUACCUAUGAUAAAAUUUAAUUUAUAUAAUAGAUUAGGCAGAGACUAAUAACAAUAACUAAUAAUAAAAUAGAAGAAUUAUAACAACAUACUAUAAUAAAAGUUAACGUGAACAUUGUUUGUCUCAAAAUAUCUUAUUGUAUGUAAUAUUUUUGGACUGUGGUUGUUCAUAGCAAGUGAAAACUCAGAUGGGGGAGGGUGGCAUACUGUAUUUAUUUUCCUGUAUCCAUUAGUGUUUCCCAGUGAACACUGCACCAGGAGGUUGGCCAUUUGUCUUUAUUUAUACAUCAAACUAAGGCAUGGAGAAUAAGAGCUUGGUAAGGUCAUAUAGCCAGGAGGUGGUUGAACUGAGAUUCAAACUGAGACAGUCUGAGUCCAAAUUCUACCACCUCUUGUGUGUGACAUUUAAUGGAUAGGUGGGCUUUUGUAACCAGUGUCUCUGCCUUUCUCCAUGAUUCACAGCACAGAAACUUGUGCAUACAUUCUCACUUGAUAUCUGAAUGACUGUAACAGUGAUGUAAAUUAACAAGGAAGGGAGAUAGCCCUGAUUUAAUUGGAAAUCACUGACAGAGCUCGCCCAGUAAACUCUCUACAAACAGAAUACAAAUGUUUUGUAUUUAAUUGCUAAAGUGUUUUAAAAUUGAACUCAAAUUAAUAAAUACUUAUUGUAUCUGUCAGUUAAACGAAACAACCAAUAAACAACCAACUCUGUUUUCUAAUCAAGAGGGACUGAUCCUUUAAAAAAAAUAGGGUUUAAAAAAGAUGAUAUGAUCAAUGUAAAAUUGGAUUAUAGACUUUUAGAGUCUUAAAAGAUGAGAAAAGAGAUAAAGAUGAAUAGAUAUGGAGUAACUAGGAUAAGACUCUCUCACAAACUGGACCUUAAACAGAUUUAGGAAGAAAUAUAGGAUUAGGAUAGAGAAAAAGAAGAGAAAGAAUUGCCUAUAGGCAUAAUAAAAAGCACAAGUGUAUCAAUCAACACAGGGUAUUGUGGACCAGUGAGGAAGGAUCAUGAUCUAGACUAGGGGAUUCAUGUUGGAAACAGUGAGACAAGUUAGAAAGGAUAGGAUGGGACAUAUUAUAUGGUUCCAAACAUAAUAAAUGAGCACUUGAGCUAGAAAGUAGUAUAAUGUUCACAGGUGGUAAAGAGGUAUAAUGAAAAAACUAUACUUCACAAAAAUUAGUGGUGUUCAGUGGGUUGGAGAGAAGACCAAUUAGAAGGUUAUCUGUGGAAUUACAACAACCCAGUGAAUUGAGCUGAUGGAGAGAGAUGCUCCUCCCACUACCAACACUCAAACAUAAGGCAAAAAUAUUUAUAGGUGAUGAGUAAUGAUGAAAAAACAAAAGAACAAAUGAUAGAUGACAUGAAGAAUGGGAGUAGGGAAGACCAUAUUUAAGACUCUGAGGUCAUUAAAUGAUGUAACAUGUUUACUAGCCCAAAAAUAUAUACUAAAAGAGUAGAAAGAAAACAAAAAAUUUCCAAAUCAGUAGCAAGGAUCAAGAAAACAAUCCAAAUGGAAGGAAAGAACAAUGUCCCUUGGAACAUAACAAUAGAACAUAAUAUGAACAGUACCUCCUUCUAUGUAGUGUAGAUAUUAAACAUAGGGUGGGAAGUACACAUAUCAAUUUCAAAAUAGUGGUUUAAUCUGAAAUUGUUAAACAGAGAGGGAGGGAAGCAAUAGAACUGAGAGAGCGUUCAAAAGCCUUUUGUUGUAUCUGUAGAGUCUUUUAUUUCUUAAAAAUACAAUCGUAUACCACAUGAUAACAUUUUGGCCAAUGGACUACACAUAUGACAUGGUCCCAUAAGAUUAUAGUACUGUCUUUUUACUGUACCUUUUCUAUGUUUAGAUAUAUUUACAUAUACAAAUACCACUGUUAAAUUGCCUACAGUAUUCAGCACAGUAACAUGCUGUGCAGGAUUGUAGCCUAGGAGCAAUGGGCUACACCAUGUGGCCUAGGUGUGUCGUAGGCUCUACUAUUUUGGUUUGUAUAAGUACACUCUAUGAUGUUCACACAAUGAUGAAAUCACCUAACGAUGCAUUUCUCAGAAUAAGUUUCUGUUGUUAAGCAACCCAUGAUUGUAUCUGAAGCAAAUAUCUAUAUCUCCUUAUUAAACCUUAGGGUAAGUACAUAAAUUAGAGAAUAAGUAUAUUAUUCUCUAAUUUGCUAUUGUAUUAUAUAUAAUAUAUGUAUAUGUAUACUAUGUAUAUAUUAUACAUAGUAUACAUGU